AUGGAGGCGCGGUCGGAGUUGGUUUUGCAGGUGGCGCUCAGCAUCUUCGGCGGUGGAGCUUGGUGUAGCUUCACGGCGGAGCACCUCCUUCCUCGCGCUCGCGGUCCCCGGUGGCCGCCGUGUGCGUUUAUCCCCACACUGGAGCUCGACGCGGCGGCUCCAGAUCGAGAUCUUGAAGCGACUGGUGUUCAAGCAAGGCAGCGUUGCGGUCGGAGGAGCAGGAUGGAGGCUCUCCAGAGUUCGAUGACCGAUGACUUCUCGUCCGCCAGGGGACAUCUUCUGAUCCAAGGCUCGUGUGAAGAUGCGGCGGCGGCGCGCCAUCGGAACGUGCUGUUCCUCGUCGGCGAUUUCGCUUUACAGGGGGACUUGGUUGUAAUUUGUAUCUUUGUGGAGGUCCGUUUUGUAAAAUCCUUGCUUUAA
rnacentral:rRNA from 1 species